rnacentral:rRNA from 1 species
UGGGGAAUAUUGCACAAUGGGCGAAAGCCUGAUGCAGCAACGCCGCGUGAGUGAUGAAGGUCUUCGGAUUGUAAAGCUCUGUCUUUUGGGACGAUAAUGACGGUACCAAAGGAGGAAGCCACGGCUAACUACGUGCCAGCAGCCGCGGUAAUACGUGGGUGGCGAGCGUUGUCCGGAUUUACUGGGCGUAAAGGGUGCGUAGGCGGAUGUUUAAGUGAGAUGUGAAAUACCCGGGCUUAACUUGGGUGCUGCAUUUCAAACUGGAUAUCUAGAGUGCAGGAGAGGAGAAUGGAAUUCCUAGUGUAGCGGUGAAAUGCGUAGAGAUUAGGAAGAACACCAGUGGCGAAGGCGAUUCUCUGGACUGUAACUGACGCUGAGGCACGAAAGCGUGGGUAGCAAACAGGAUUAGAUACCCUGGUAGUCCACGCCGUAAACGAUGAGUACUAGGUGUAGGAGGUAUCGACCCCUUCUGUGCCGCAGUAAACACAUUAAGUACUCCGCCUGGGAAGUACGAUCGCAAGAUUAAAACUCU